AUGACACCAAAGAUGAAGAUGAAAUUCUCGAGAGUGAGUUUUUUGAUACAAGACAGGCAUUUUUGAGCCUUUGUCAGGGAAAUCAUUACCAAUAUGAUACCCUGAGGCGUGCUAAACAUUCCUCGAUGAUGGUCCUUUACCACCUUCAUAAUCCCACGGCACCAGCAUUUGUGACAACUUGCAACAUUUGUUACCUUGAUAUAGAAGCUGGUCAAGGUUGGCGAUGUGAAGUUUGCGCAGAUUAUGAUGUUUGCAAUGCUUGUUACCAGAAAGAUGGUGGAGUUGAUCAUCCUCACAAGUUGAUUAGGCAUCCAUCUUUGGCUGAGCGUGAUGCACAGAAUAAAGAAGCUAGGCAAAUACGAGUUAUGCAGGUGCAUUCCCUUUGGCCUUUAAUGUAAUUUGUGGUUUUGUGCUUCUUCCUAUGUUUAGUCGAUGAAGCCCUCUGUUACAACUUUUGGUUCAGUUCUAAAUCCCUUGCAUCUACCUCUCUGUGUUUUUUGGGUCCCUUUCAUCCUCUUUGAAUCACCAUAUAUUAGUCCUAGUCCACUGCAGCUACUAAAUGCUACACCUUUUCNUUGUGGCCCUCUCUCAACCACCUUCCUUUUCCCCUGUGGUGAUAGAAAGGGUAUAAUUAAUAUAUUUACUGACUGAAUUGUAAAAAAUUGAUGCCGAGAAAGUACGAGAAUAUAGAAUAAAGUCUUUUCCUACAAAGCAUCUAUAAAGACCCCAAUAUAUUUGAUUUGUCCCAUCUUAAGUACGUUAUGCAAAGAAGCUUAGUGUUUUGCUGCAUUGUGUCCAUGGUAGGUUUAGUUCUUAUGGUUUCCGAGUCUUUACAUUAUGCCUUUUUUUAAUGUAGCUAACAGGGAGAUCGCUUAUUGAUCAAUAAAUUAACCUGGAAACUUUUAGGAACCCAAAGAAAGAAAAGAAUGAAUGCAGUUACAUUUCGUUUUGUUAAAUACUUGUAUUCGUUUGGUGUAUGGAAAUAUUCAUAAGGGACAACAUUUGAGAGAGAGUUUCUUAUUCCGUAGUGUUUUUCUUUUUAACAUUUGGUGUCUUUAUUGGUACUGUUUCAGGUGCUAUGAAACUGAGCAAAAACUUGAAGAUAGAGAGAGACAUCCUAUUAAUCAAAAGGACAAGCACACACUUUAUCAAGUAAGUAUUUCUCUUUCCCCCCUGUCCCACUGUUGGAACAUCUAUUGUGUUCCAUGAUUAAGAAAUUUCAAUGAUAUUUGCCAGAUUGAAAUCAAGGAUGUACCUCAUGACACCAAAGAUGAAGAUGAAAUUCUCGAGAGUGAGUUUUUUGAUACAAGACAGGCAUUUUUGAGCCUUUGUCAGGGAAAUCAUUACCAAUAUGAUACCCUGAGGCGUGCUAAACAUUCCUCGAUGAUGGUCCUUUACCACCUUCAUAAUCCCACGGCACCAGCAUUUGUGACAACUUGCAACAUUUGUUACCUUGAUAUAGAAGCUGGUCAAGGUUGGCGAUGUGAAGUUUGCGCAGAUUAUGAUGUUUGCAAUGCUUGUUACCAGAAAGAUGGUGGAGUUGAUCAUCCUCACAAGUUGAUUAGGCA
rnacentral:lncRNA from 1 species